rnacentral:rRNA from 1 species
AGCGAACGCUGGCGGCAGGCCUAACACAUGCAAGUCGAACGAACCUUUCGGGGUUAGUGGCGGACGGGUGAGUAACACGUGGGAACGUGCCUUUAGGUUCGGAAUAACUCAGGGAAACUUGUGCUAAUACCGAAUGUGCCCUUCGGGGGAAAGAUCUAUCGCCUUUAGAGCGGCCCGCGUCUGAUUAGCUAGUUGGGUGAGGUAAUGGCUCACCAAGGCGACGAUCAGUAGCUGGUCUGAGAGGAUGAUCAGCCACAUUGGGACUGAGACACGGCCCAAACUCCUACGGGAGGCAGCAGUGGGGAAUCUUGCGAAAUGGGCGAAAGCCUGACGCAGCCAUGCCGCGUGAAUGAUGAAGGUCUUAGGAUUGUAAAAUUCUUUCAACGGGGACGAUAAUGACGGUACCCGGAGAAGAAGCCCCGGCUAACUUCGUG